rnacentral:rRNA from 1 species
GACGAACGCUGGCGGCGUGCUUAACACAUGCAAGUCGAACGAUGAAGCCCAGCUUGCUGGGUGGAUUAGUGGCGAACGGGUGAGUAACACGUGGGCAACCUGCCCCAAACUCUGGGAUAACUCCUCGAAAGAGGCGCUAAUACCGGAUACGAACUAGGUAGACAUCUGCACUAGUUGGAAAGUUUUUCGGUUUGGGAUGGGCCCGCGGCCUAUCAGCUUGUUGGUGAGGUAACGGCUCACCAAGGCUACGACGGGUAACCGGCCUGAGAGGGCGACCGGUCACAGUGGGACUGAGACACGGCCCAGACUCCUACGGGAGGCAGCAGUGGGGGAUAUUGCGCAAUGGGCGAAAGCCUGACGCAGCGACGCCGCGGGAGGGAUGAAGGUCUUCGGAUCGUAAACCUCUUUCAGUAGGGACGAAGCGAAAGUGACGGUACCUAAAGAAGAAGCACCGGCUAACUACGUGCCAGCAGCCGCCGCAG